rnacentral:lncRNA from 1 species
UCUCGCUCCCUACCUCUCUCUCUACCUCUCUCUCUCCCGCUCCUCUCUCUCUCUCCCUACCUCGCUCUCUCCCCUCUCUCUCUCUCUCUCUCUCUCUCCACUCUCUCUCUCUCUCCCUACGCUCUCUCUCUCUUCCUCCUCUCUCUCUCUCUCCUCUACUCUCUCGCUCUCCCUACCUCUCUCUCUCCCUCCCUCUCUUCUCUCUCCCUACUCUCUCCCUACCUCUCUUCUCUCUCCUCUUCUCUCCCUCCCUACCGUCUCUCCUCUCUCCUCCGACCUCUCUCGCUCCUCCGUACCUCGCUCUCUCUCUCCCCUACCUCUCUCUCUCUACCUCUCCUCUCUCCUACCUCUCUCUCUCUCUCGACCUCUCUUCUCUCCGCCCUACCUCUCCUCUCUCUCCACCACCUCUCUCCUCUCGUCUACUCUCUCUCUCCUCCCUACCCUCUCUCUCUCUCUCCCUAUCCUCUCUCUCCUCCCUACCUCCUCCUCGCUCCCCUCUCUCUCUCUCUCCUCUCUCCUCCCUCCUCUCCUCUCUCUCUCCCUACCUUCCUCUCUCGCCCUACAUCUCCUCUCUCCCUCCCUCUCUCCCUACCCUCUCUCUCGUCUCUCUCCGACCUCUCUCCCUACCUCUCUCUCUCCUCUAAACCUCGCUCCUCCCUAUCUCUCUCUCUCCUACCUCUCCCUCUCUCCCCACUCUCUUCCCCAACGCUUCUCUCCUCUCCUCCUAAAGAACCUCUCUCGUCUCCCUCCUCUCCUCCCUCCUCUCCGUCCUAUCACGCCUCUCUCCUCCUCCUCGCCUUGCUUCGCCCUCUCUUCUCCUCUCGCCUCUCUCUCUCACUCGCACUCCGCUCUUCUCUCGCGUCCUCUCUCCCCUCUCUCUCUCUAACCUCUCUCAUCUCUCUCGCCUCCAUCCGCUCUCUUCUCCCUACCUCUCUCUCUCUCCCCUCUCUCCCUCCUACUCCUUCUCCUCUCCCCUACCUUCUCUCUCAGCUCCCGACCUAUCUCGUCUCCCCCUCUCUCUGCUCCACUACCUCUCUCUCUCCACCUCUAUACAUAUUACUACAUUAUAAUCGACUUCUCUUAACCUCUCUCUCUCUCUCCCUACUCUCUCUCUCCCUACCUCUCUCCUCCCUACCUCUCCUCUCUCCCUACCUCUCUCUCUCUCCCACCCUUCUCUCUCUCCCCCUACCCUCUCUCCUCUCCUCCCCUACCUCUCCCUCUACCUCUCUCUCUCUCCAGUGA